rnacentral:rRNA from 1 species
AGGACUAACGCUGGCGGCGUGCCUAACACAUGCAAGUCGCACGGUUGGGGGGCAACUUCCGGCAGUGGCGGACGGGUGAGUAACGCGUAGGGAUCUAUCCAUGGGUGGGGGACAACCGCGGGAAACCGCGGCUAAUACCGCAUGAUGCCUGAGGGCCAAAGCUCGCGAGAGCGCCUGGGGAGGAGCCUGCGUCCGAUUAGCUAGUUGGUGGGGUAACGGCCCACCAAGGCGUCGAUCGGUAGCUGGUCUGAGAGGAUGAUCAGCCACACUGGGACUGAGACACGGCCCAGACUCCUACGGGAGGCAGCAGUGGGGAAUAUUGGACAAUGGGCGCAAGCCUGAUCCAGCAAUGCCGCGUGGGUGAAGAAGGUCUUCGGAUUGUAAAGCCCUUUCGGCGGGACGAUGAUGACGGUACCGCAGAAGAAGCCCGGCUAACUUCGCGCCAGCAGCCGC